rnacentral:rRNA from 1 species
ACUCGUUUUUCCUUUCGUCUCCUCCGUCUCCUACCUCUGUCGCCUCUGUUAUCCCCAACCUCUUCCUCUCGGCUCUCUCUCCCAUAAGGCCGGCCACCACAAAGAGGUCGACAUCGUUCGGAGCUCUCUCCACCUUAUCUCCCCAACAGCCGCUCUCUCUUUUGUAUCCCCCACUUUAUCCCCCGGUGACGAAACAUCGAGACCGCAUCGGCCACCGACGAUGCAAGGAGGACGAAGCACGACUUCUUCCCAUCCCGGCCACCGGCGCUGCAAAGUCGAUGUUGCGGCGCAGCAUAAGCCGUCGUAGUUCUGCAAGGCGGGCUCGGCGCUGUGAGGCGGGAGCGCGGGCUGCUUCUUCGGUGGGCGGUGGAGCUACAACUCAACGGGCGUGCCGCUGCGCGGCGACGGCGGAGCUGCAACGUGGGUGGUGAGCGGAGGAGCUGCAACGCGGGUGGUGAGCGGAGGAGCUGCAGCGCAACGGCCAUGGUGUUGCGCGUCGGCGACGGAGACGCAGGGCAACGACCAUGGUGUUGUGUGCCGUCGGCGGAGCUACAGUGCAUGUCGGGGUGCUGUUUGGAACGCCCGUCAUGCUGCGACCCGGGUCUCACCACUGGUGGAGCUGCAUAGCAACACGCAUGGUGCUGCGAGUCUGCGACACAGGUUCGUCAUAGGAUUUCGCUGGUGGCAUCGAGGACCAUUGCAUUGCAGCUCCGGCGGCGUCGAGGACCGCUGCAUCGCAGCUCCAGCGGCGUCGAGGAACGCUGCAUCGCAGCUCCGGCGGCGGCGGCGGCUGCUGCAUCGCAGCUCCGGCGGCGACGCGUCCGCUGCGUCGCAGCUCUGACAGCGGCUGCUGCUGCAUCGCAACUCCGGCGGCCUUGCUGCAUCGCAGCUCCGGCGGCCUCGCUGUAUCGCAGCUCGGGCGGUGGCGUCCGUUUGCAACGCAGCUCCGACGAACUUGCUGUACCGCAGCUCGAGUGUCGUCGUGGCCGUUGCAUGGCAGCCGCUGCCUGCAUGCUGAUGGCCUGAUGGGCGUGCUUGGAGCGCCACUCUUGGGCGCUGCAUGGCGAGACAAAAUGAACGGCUAUUAUAUGCACAAUCGGACGGUUAUUAAGGCGGCUUAUAUUUGGGUGCUAUCAGCCGGCUUACGCCUAGCAUCGGCCCAUAUUUUAUCUCUCGGUUAUGAAACAGUUACACUUGGAAAAGCCUCGUAUUUUUGCCCAUGGUAGGUGAACCAGACAGUGAAAACUCCUGACCAUUCCCAAGUCAUGCCCAAGGAAAUUGCAUAUUCUAGCGGAGCAUGUAUCUAUCGGGUAAGAAUCUACCUUUCAUUCGCUUCAAGAUCCAUGCAUUUUGGACUGAUAUGCAUGCGGUAUUUUAUGUAUUUGCUUUCCUCUUAUCUGGUAUAGCAAUUUUAAGUCACGUCACAGGGUCCCAUCACCAUUUUAUCGGAGAGAAGGGCGUAAUGUGCAUGCAUGACUGCCAUUCUCCAUUCUCCUCGCAUGAAAAAUAUUUUUUUGAGCAUAACGCUCAUAUACACGCGCAUACACUCACCCUUAUGAAUGCACACACGCACACCCUACCCUAUGAGCACCUCCGAGAGACUGUGCCGGCAUAUUAUCUUGAGAUUUAAAUCCAGGAAUAAUACGAGCACCAGAAUUUGAACCCUGAUGGGUUGGGGAUACCACUGUCAACCUAACCAACUCAAUCACAAGUUGAUUCGCGCAUGAAAAAUAUUAAUAUUAAUUUUUGUAGUCUUUUCUUAUAUGAUUUAUAUAUUUCAAAUUAGAAUUUGGUUUCUUAAUUUUCUAUGUAUAUUUGAAAUCCCGAUGAUAAGAUCUUUCAAACAAGAUCAAUAUUGAAUAUAUUUUAAAUUUGUUUAAUUUUUGCUGUUUCACAAAAUUGGUUGGAAUUGAAAUGAGUAACAAAAUUUAACUAUUUUUCUAUUUAUUGAAAUUGAAAUGAAUUUUAUAUAUCAUUUUAUGUCAUACAUUUCAAUAACAUAGUUACCAGAUGUAUUUCAAUACCAAAUCACUUUGUUACCAGAUGUGUAUUGGAUGCUUCACUAUCAGGUUAAUUUCACGAUCAUAUCAAUUUGUUAGCAUAUGCUCAAAUUUUUGUACCAGAUGCAUUCAUUUAUCAUACCAAUUUUAGUACCAUAUUAAUUUCAGUAACAUGCACAUAUUUCAGUUUCAGUAUUAUUUAUUUUAUUAAUAAAAUUUAGUACAACAUCCAUUUCAGUGACAUAAAAGUGAAACGCAGACGAUAGAUUUCAAUACCACAGGCAUUCCAAUACCAGAUGAGUUUGUUACCGGGUGCAUUUCGAUACGAUAUGCUUCACUACUAAGUCACUUUGUUGGCAUUUGCAUUUCACUACCAGAUGCAUAGUAGACCAUUUUUUUUUGGAAAUACCAUACCACUUUCAGUACCACAUCCAUUUCAAUAAGAUGCAUCUAUUUUCAAUUUUAGAACAACUUUAAAAAUAUAUUUUGAUAUAUUUAGGUAUUUAAAAUAUAGUAAAAAUCAUUGAUUUUAGACAUUUUAUAUAUAUUAAAACUAGGGAGUGGCUACAUAUCAAUCGACUGACACAAGAAAGAGGUCAGUCGAUUGGUACAACUCUGGACAAUGCGGCAACCCAAAAGAAAUUUGACUGACCAAAGUUUGGGGUCAGUCAGUCAGCCCAACAAAAACAGCAGGCUGAAAGCUUUCUGUUUCUGUUUCUGUCUUCAGAGUUUAGCCCAGAAAAGAAAACGGGCCAGAACCCGCUAAGCUAAAGAUCCAAAUAACUGACAGCUCACUAUGUCGUCCUCCUUGCGACUUUGCUUUCUUCCUUGACUCCCACCCAGCCGCCACCAUGGGAGGGGAAACAAACCUUAGAUCUCCUGUUGUCUUCUGAUAAUUCUGGUCAACUUGUGCCGACGAUUCUUGCUCUGUGCAUACUUCUCCUCCAAUCCCCAAGAUCUGUCAGCAGGAAGAACAAAAUGAAGAAGAAAGAAACCUGGUGGUAAAAGUUCUUGUGGUCAGUCAAAGGUACCUAAAAUUGCACAUCAUUCUCAGCAGCAAGAAUACGGAGAGAUUGCAGAUAGAAGUCAUGACAACAAGGUGCUGAAAAAUUUGUAUCAAGGCAACAAACAUAUGCAGAGACUUAUAAAAUCAUUCAGUGGAAUUUCUGAGGAUGCACUUUUGGGAUAAAACUUUGCUCGACAAUAGGACCUACACCCCAUUCCUAGACAAAAAGAAUCAAUUCAACAGGAAUCAGAUUUGCUCCAUUUAGGAAACCAAAGUUUGCAUACGAGUAAUGACAUGCUAGUACCACAAGGAGCGGCACAGUCUUACACAUAACUAAUGCAACAAAUGACAGUCAUGAGUCAUCUACAAAGCGACAACAUGGCAAUACCUAUAAGUAGUUUCACACCAUUCUUGACUGCGGGCAUAAAUUUUGAGCAUCAAGCAGCAGGACCAAGUGCAAGGAACAAUUGGCAACAACUUAAUGAUUGGGGACCAUAUUCUGUACCUUUAGACGAAGAGCAUGAAGAUGAUGCUGAAGGUAACAAUGAAGAUGAAGCAAAUCAUAGUGAGACUGAAUCUGGUGGUGAGCAUGAAGAUGACGAUGAAGGUAACAAUGAAGAUGAAGCAAAUCACAGUGAGACUGAAUCUGAUGGUGAGCAUGAAUUUGACUGCAACAGUGAUGAGAAUCGAAGUUAUCCAGAUGAAGCUUACAUAGAGUGCACUAGUGAUCAAAAUGAAACUGAUGCGGAGGAAGAUUUCCUGGAACAAAAUACGUUAUCCCGUGAUCAGUUUUUGGUGGAACACCAGCAUUCAGAGCUGCAAGAGUUGGAGCAAAGUUGGAACUAUUAGGAUUCAGUCAUUGAGCAGCAAAUGAUGACAACUGAUCAAGAAGUAAAAGUAAGGAGCUCUGAAGUAGCAUUGCAAGGCCCUGAUUAUGCAGAAACAACUGAUACAAAUGGCACUAGUGGCAGCGAUGAUUCAGAGUUUGAAGCAGAGCAGCUAAAAGAGGUGGAACAAGAAACAUAAAACUAUGAAAUAGAUAACAGUGCUGGUUAUGCACAAUCAAAUGAAGAGGAUCAGAACGAAACUGUUAGUCCAUCAGGCAAGGAUAGUCCAUCAGGCAAGGAAAAAAUUGUAGGAACUAGUAAGGAGCAGAUGAAAGAUGAAAACAAGUUAUCUCAGGAAGGUAUAGAAUUCUUCCUUGAGAAUGACAGCAUUAAAAAGGCAAUUAAAUUAAGCCAAGAAGAUGAGAAGAAACACAUGCCAGCUCUUGGCAUGACAUUUGAAAGUGAUGCUCAUGCACACCGAUUCUACAAUGAAUAUUCAGCUAUUGCUGGGUUCUCAAUUCAGAAAGCUGCAAACUAUCACUGCCAGAAAAAAGAUGCACACAACAACAAAAUGACGAGGUUCACUAUGAAGUGUAACAGAUCUGGUAAACCUAGGAUAAGGAUAAAACCAACAGCUGCAGGAGCAAAAAGGAGAAAGUAUAAGACUGCUAAGAAUGCACCAACUGAGCUAGAGAAUACGACAGACAGAAGAAGAAACUACACAAUUAAAACAGACUGUCAAGCUCAGAUGGUUGUUAUCUGGAAAUUCGAUAUAGCACAGUGGGUGGUGACAAGGCUUAUCAUUGAGCACAACCAUGAUCUACACCCACCAGGGGAAGUCAGGUUCCUUAGGUCACACAAAUAUAUCACUGAGCAAGAGAAGGACUUAAUCAGAACAUGCAAACGAGUGAACAUACCAACUAGAAAGAAAAUGGCAAUAAUGGCGUUCUUUCGAGGAAGAGAGCCUUCUUCGUUGCCAUAUACAGCAAAACUGAUUAGCAGCAUGGGCACGAAAAUGAGAAGAGAUAAUGGCUUGAAUGACAUGAUGCAGGUGGUCUCAUUUUUUGAACAGAAAAAAUCAGAAGAUCCUCUGUUCUUCUACUCAUUCAAAACCGAUCCAGCUAAGAAUGUCAUGCAUAUAUUUUGGGCAGAUGGCACUGGUAUAAGGAACUAUCAACAAUAUGGUAAUCUCCUAAGUUUUGAUACAACUUACAAAACAAACAAGUAUAAUCUAAAAUUUGCUCCAUUUGUGGGUGUAAAUGGACACGGAGACAACUGCCUCUUUGCAUGUGGUUUCAUACAAGAUGAGAAGAAGGAAACUUUCGAGUGGUUAUACAAACUUUUCUGAAGUGCAUGGGAGGGAAAGCUCCAAAAUCUGUGAUAACAGAUCAAGAUGCAGCUAUGAAAAAGGUAGUGCCUAAGUGUUUUCCUAGUUGCACGCACAUGAACUGUUUGUUCCACAUUCUAACAAAAGCGCAGAACAAAGCUAGAAGAACAUUUGCAAGGAACCAACAUUUGAACGCUCAGUUUCAUGACAUAAUCCUAAACUCACAAACAGUUGAGUAUUUCGAGCACCUCUGGCCCAAGAUGAUACAGCAACACAAUGUUCAACAUAUCAAGUACUUCAGGAUUAUGUGGAAAAACAGAAAGAGAUUUGUACCUGCGUACUUCAAAAAUGACUUUUCCCAUUCAUCCAGACAACAUCAAGAAGUGAAGGAACAAAUGAUGUAUUCAAAGCAAAUGUAGGGUCAAGUCAUAGUGUGAUUGCUUUCAUGACAGAGUUUGAUAGGAUAUCACAAAGUAUUGAAGAAAAAAGAAAAUAAACUGAUUCAGUAACAAGGAGAACUUCUCCAACUAUGUGGAGUGACUGGGCAUUGGAAAAGCAAGUGGCAAGACUAUAUAACAGAGGCAUAUUCUACAAAUUUCAGCAAGAGUUAAUGAAUUCAACAAAGUUUCACAUGAUGGAAGUGGAAAAGAACAAACAGUAUGAGGUGUACAAGUCACCGACUCAAGCACUGUUUGACUAUAACCCAAGAACAUUCAUAGUGGUUGUUGACACAGAUUCUGAAACUAUUUCAUGUGUAUGUAGGAAAUUUGAGAAGGAUGGCAUUCUGUGUUGUCAUGCACUCAAAGUCAUACAAGCAUUGAACAUUGAUGAGUUACCAGAAAAGUAUUUCAUUGAUAGAUGGAGACCUAAGGAAAAAAGAGCAUUUCAAGGUAAUGAAGAAGAUGCAAACCUUGAAGAUUCGGAUGAGCAAAUGACAUUCUUCUCAUUUUCAAGAAGGCUAGUUCAGCUAGCUUCUGAGGCAUAAAAAAUGCUGCAAGGAGGAAAGUGUUAAACGAGAAAAUAGGAAAUCUGGAGAAGUUAAUUUUAGACAUACCUUGCAUGCCAGGAUUGGAGCAAUCGAAAUGUUCUGCUUCAGAUUUAACACCUGUCACUCGGGAAGUGUUGAGUUCUGACAGCAAGGGUGAGAACACUCUAAAGGAUCCAAUAUACAGCAAACCAAACGGGAGAAUGAAGAAAACAGGGAGGCAGAAAAGUAUAGUAGAAGAAAUCAUAUCAAAGCCUAAAGUGACUUGUUCGGGGUGCAAGAAACAAGGACACAACAUUACAGGGUGCAAGCAAAUAGAACAAGAGUCGCCAGAAAAACCUCAAAAAACAGCCAGGAGAAAGAUUGCAAAGCAAUGUAAAGAGAAGACCGCAAAAAAAACAUAGAUGAAAAAGCAAGGAGUAAUACAUAUUCAUGAAAUGAGGAAAGAAGAAGAAAAGGAUGCUCAUGGCGUGAAUAAACAUGAUUGCAAAGCAAAAGGUGAAGAUGUGUGAAAAGAAGAUCAAGAACAGGAGCAUUUGUUAUUGUGCCCAAAAAUUUGCAUAAUUUUUGUAUGAAAUGAUGGAAAUGUAAUUUAAGCACUCUCAAAUGAUUUCGAUUCUUUUUACUUGCUUACUAAAUUCAGG